CCUACGGGAGGCAGCAGUGAGGAAUAUUGGUCAAUGGACGAGAGUCUGAACCAGCCAAGUAGCGUGAAGGAUGACUGCCCUAUGGGUUGUAAACUUCUUUUAUAUGGGAAUAAAAUGUUCCACGUGUGGGAUUUUGUAUGUACCAUAUGAAUAAGGAUCGGCUAACUCCGUGCCAGCAGCCGCGGUAAUACGGAGGAUCCGAGCGUUAUCCGGAUUUAUUGGGUUUAAAAGGAGCGUAGGUGGAUUGUUAAGUCAGUUGUGAAAGUUUGCGGCUCAACCGUAAAAUUGCAGUUGAAACUGGCAGUCUUGAGUACAGUAGAGGUGGGCGGAAUUCGUGGUGUAGCGGUGAAAUGCUUAGAGAUCACGAAGAACUCCGAUUGCGAAGGCAGUUCACUGGACUGCAACUGACACUGAGGCUCGAAAGUGUGGGUAUCAAACAGGAUUAGAUACCCGUGUAGUC
rnacentral:rRNA from 1 species